rnacentral:lncRNA from 1 species
CAGCUCGUCGAGUUUUUUUCGAGCCGUACUCCUGUGGAGGACAACCUUCGGAACCUCCGUAGCCCGUCGAGUUAUCUUCAGAUUCUUCAACCCAUCGAUCUCUAUCCGGAUCAGCUCGUCGAGUUUUUUUUCGAAUCGUACUCCUGUGAAGGACAAUCUAUAAGAUCUCUGUAGUCUAUUGAGUUAUCUCCGUAUCCUCCAGCCCAUCGAUCUCUAUCUGGGCCAGCUCAUUAAGUUUUCCUCUAAGCUGUACUCCUACGGAGGACAACCUAUGGGACCUUCGCAGCCCGUCGAGUUAUCUUUGUGUCCUUCAGUCCAUCGAUCUCUAUCCGAACCAGCUUGUUGAGUUUUUUUCUGAGUCGUAUUCCUGCAGAGGACAACCUAUGUGAUCUCUACGGCCCAUCAAGUUAUCUUCGGAUCCUCCAGUCAAUCGACCUUUAUCCAGACUAGCUUGUUGAGUUUUUCUUCGAGCCAUACUCUUACGAAGGAUAACCUACGAGACCUCUGCAGCCCAUCGAGUUAUCUCCACGCCAGUCCAUCGAUCUUCAUCCGAAUCAGCUUUUGAUCGACUAAAAAUGAGCAGAGCAAUAAUGCCUCUC